AAUUUUACUGGGUUUCCAAGACAAAACACAGAUACCUAGAUUAUCUAUGAUAUUAGCUAUUCAUCUCCAAGACAUCGCGAACCAGCAGCUGCGAACUUCGGGAACUUUGUGUUGCAGAUCCAUAUCGUUGUCUCUCAUAUUAUAUCUACUCCAUCACAUUGCGAGAGGACACAGCAGCAGCGCACGCCAAAUAAGACGAUCUGAGAUAUUUAAUCGGGGGUAGAUCUACUUUGAGAGAAGAUCAACAUCAUCUUCGUGAAAUAUCAUUAUCGCACCGGACUUGCAACAUGGAGAGGGCCUAGAAUUUGGAUAAUGAGGAAGAUAGUAAGUUCAGAGAUCAGGAAAUUAUUGAUUUAAACUGCUAGAGCCCUGAGGGUGAUUCCAGUUACUAGUGUAGUGCAGAAAAAGACCUAAAAGUAUUUAUGCUUAUGCAUGGAAUGUUGUUUGAUCAUGAGGAGGGAAUGUAUGAUUUCUACAAGAAAUAUGGUGAGGCAAAUGGAUUUCCUGUGAAGCGAAGAACAUCAAACAAGGACAAAGAUGGCUUGUGCAAAUAUUUGACUUUUACGUGUGCUAGAGCAAGUGUGUUUCUCAUAAAUGGAAUAUCUGAUUUUUUUUCGAUGGUAGCAAUAUGUUAGCCUCUCAUUCAUAUGACAUUGUAAUUUUACUUGUCUUAUCAUUGAUUAGGUUUGUUAAUCAGUCAUGCCAAGAAUCUUAUAAAUCAUAAUUCAAGCCAGAAGAGUGGAUGCAAGGCUCGUUUAAGA